rnacentral:rRNA from 1 species
GGGGGACAACAACUGGAAACGGUUGCUAAUACCCCAUAUGCUUCCGAGUAAAAUGGAUUUUUCCGCCUAAAGAGAAGCUUGCGGCUGAUUAGCUUGUUGGUGAGGUAAUGGCUCACCAAGGCGACGAUCAGUAUCUGGUUUUGAGAGGACGAUCAGACAACACUGGAACUGAGACACGGUCCAGACUCCUACGGGAGGCAGCAGUGGGGAAU